UACAGAGGGCUCAAGCGUUGUUCGGAUUCAUUGGGCGUAAAGGGUGCGUAGGUGGCGAGGUAAGUUGGAUGUGAAAUCCCGGGGCUCAACCCCGGAACUGCAUUCAAUACUGCCUUGCUAGAGUACUGGAGGGGAGAUUGGAAUUUACGGUGUAGCAGUGAAAUGCGUAGAUAUCGUAAGGAAGACCAGUGGCGAAGGCGGAUCUCUGGACAGUUACUGACACUGAGGCACGAAGGCCAGGGGAGCAAACGGG
rnacentral:rRNA from 1 species